UACGGAGGAUGCGAGCGUUAUCCGGAUUUAUUGGGUUUAAAGGGUGCGCAGGCGGCGUGUCAAGCAAGCGGUAAAAUAGCGGGGCUCAACCCCGUCGAGCCGUUUGAACUGGCGCGCUUGAGUUCAGGCGAGGUAGGCGGAAUUCGUGGUGUAGCGGUGAAAUGCAUAGAUAUAUGGAAGAACACCAGUGGCGAAGGCGGCCUGCUGGACAAUAACUGACGCUGAGGCGCGAAAGCGUGGGGAGCAAACAGG
rnacentral:rRNA from 1 species